rnacentral:sRNA from 1 species
CUGCCGCCUGUAGGCCUCGGCGUGGCGCUGACGCAAUCGCGCAACCCUGU